rnacentral:rRNA from 1 species
AAGCGAAAGCAUUUGCCAAAAACGCUUUCAUUGAUCAAGAACGAAAGUUAGAGGUUCGAAGGCGAUCAGAUACCGCCCUAGUUUAACCAUAAACGAUGCCAGCUAGCGAUCCGCCCGACGUUCCUCCGAUGACUCGGCGGGCAGCUUCCGGGAAACCAAAGCUUUUGGGUUCCGGGGGAAGUAUGGUUGCAAAGCUGAAACUUAAAGGAAUUGACGGAAGGGCACCACCAGGAGUGGAGCCUGCGGCUUAAUUUGACUCAACACGGGAAACCUCACCAGGCCCGGACACCGGAAGGAUUGACAGAUUGAGAGCUCUUUCUUGAUUCGGUGGGUGGUGGUGCAUGGCCGUUCUUAGUUGGUGGAGCGAUUUGUCUGGUUAAUUCCGAUAACGAACGAGACUCUAGCCUUCUAACUAGGCGUAUUUCGACAUCCCAAAGGCCCGCCGGCAUCGAGUUUCGGCUCUUUUGNUGCGCGCGGUUUUUACUGUCGGCGUACAAACAAUUCUUUUUAGAGGGACAGGCGGCUUCUAGCCGCACGAGAUUGAGCCAUAACAGGUCUGUGAUGCCCUUAGAUGUUCUGGGCCGCACGCGCGCUACACUGAAGGAAUCAGCGUGUCCUCCCUGGCCGAGCGGCCCGGGUAACCCGCUGAACCUCCUUCGUGNUAGGGAUUGGGGCUUGCAAUUGUUCCCCAUGAACGAGGAAUUCCCAGUAAGCGCGAGUCAUAAAUUCGCGUUGAUUACGUCCCUGCCCUUUGUACACACCGCCCGUCGCUACUACCGAUUGAAUGAUUUAGUGAGGUCUUCGGACUGAGCGCGGUGGCGUUUCGGCGUCGUCGAUGCUUCGGAAAGAUGACCGAAC